UUUCUAGUUUUUAGUACAUUAUUAUGUUUAAUCACAAGUCAACCAUUUGACUUAAAAAGUUUUUUUUUACUUUUUUUUAUUAAAAGUGGAGGAUACAAGUGCCGUUUUCAAUGACGAAACCAAAUACAGAAUCCUCGUUGGUGGUCUUCUGUAUAUCGCGGUGUUUGCUAGGCCGAACAUUGGUGUGAAUACAGCGAUACUCGGCCGUAAAGUGAGUGCUCCGACAGAGACUUGUUGGGUGACGGCAAAGCGAGUAGUUCGCUAUUUGAAGGCAACAAUGCAUUGGAAAUUAGUGUACAGUGGAUCUAGAGGUGGACCGAUAGGCUUUGUUGAUGCAAAUUGGAGGGAAGGAACGAUCUACCAGCCUUACCUGGGAAGGGUUAGCCCAGAUAUCGAGUGGAGUUCUCACCCACAAAAACCAAGCCUCCUUCUCAUAGCCUAAUUUCCUUCGGGAUCACAUCUAGACGACAACUUCGGAGGGCGGCUGUGCUCAUGAACUUCGCCUAUUGUUACCUUUUUAUUUAUUUGCCAUUUGAUUCUAAUUUUGCAGCAUCCGUUUACCCGUCAAGCCGUGUACCGAUUAGGAAUUGCCCUCCAACUUGACGCGCAACCCGUCACAGUCACCCUCGCAGGAUUUCUCUUUACAACGAAGUACCGAUUAAGUAGUACCCUCCAACAUGACGCGCACUCCGUCACAACUAUGACAAAUAACCCGUGACAAAAGCAUGAGUCUACCACUCACUGACAAAUUCCGGGAAAGUCUAUAGGCUUACUAUAGAACUCGCUGUCGCAAAUAAUCGGGGUUCCACUGUACCCCCAGAUACGACGCAAUUAGGAAAUUAAGAUUCUAUAAUUAAAACACUAAUUUAAAAUUUA